UCUUUUUACAAGUCACCGCGGAGCUAUGUUUGCCCAAGCUUACAUUUCUACAAAUUGCUGUUCUGUGGGGGUGUCUGGGUUCCUGUUCUCGAUGUGGGUGUUUGUGUGCUGUGGGUGCUUGUCGGUCUUUUUUUAUUUUUUUUUUCAAGAUGGGAGUGAGGAGGAAAGAAAGAAUGAGAUGGGAUGGGGGGAUGACAAGCUGGAUCUGAUUAUGGCUUGGAAUGACUGGGAGGCUUUGCGGUGUGGUGCUUUCUCAAUAGCACAUUCCUGUGAGCAAGCUGGGACAUGAUCCAAAGCUCCAGACUAACCCCUGCCAGAGGGAUUGAGGAAAACGAAACGGAGAUAUUUUAUGUUUGGAACGGGGGUUUCGUGUGGAUUGUAGAUGGAUGUAAAGUUGACAUGGCCAAUGAAAUUGUCAACAGCGAGUCGAGCAACAUCUGUAAAGGGAAGCCAAAUUAACAAAUGCUUGCAUAUGCCAAAGUUGUGUUUUUUUGUAUGUGUGUGUGUUUGCCUGUGGGAAAUGUCUGAUCAAGUAAGCACUUCAACUGUAGUUUGUGUGACCACUCAGUCCUGGAAUGAAAAAGACUCAGCAGCUCGGAAAUAAAUGCGUGUUGAUGUUGAUGUUUUAUGUAAGUAUGUAUUUAUUUAUUACUUGCAUCUUAGCCACUUUUUGAACCUAUCCCUUUCUGCUUUAU